GUGGAUCGAUAGAUUGCUGUAGAUCUGAGAGAUUGCUGUACAGCUGGGUGCUACACGAGUCCCCACAACCGCUGCUCCAUCAAACUCUCCCCAAAUAAUACCUCUUGCUCCUUGGUUCAGGGUUGUCCACAACGUAUACAAUUGACAUUCUGAAUCCUUGGAACAUCUCUUCUGUAGAAGGUGCUAAGAACAGGAGUAUUUAUGGUGGAGCAAGGAUUGCAGAUGGAUCUUCAGCUGGUUCAGAAAGGAUAACCGAAUGACAG